AUUGAACGCUGGCGGCAGGCCUAACACAUGCAAGUCGAGCGAGCGGCGGACGGGUGAGUAAUGUCUGGGGAACUGCCUGAUGGAGAGGGAUAACUACUGGAAACGUUAGCUAAUAACGCAUACCAUCAGAUGUGCCCCGAUGGGCUUUGCUAGUAGGUGGGGGAAAGGCUCACCUAGGCGACGAUCCCUAGCUGGUCUGAGAGGAUGACCAGCCACACUGGAACUGAGACACGGUCACGACUCCUACGGGAGGCAGCAGGGGGGAAUAUUGCACAAUGGGCGCAAGCCUGAUGCAGCCAUGCCGCGUGUGUGAAGAAGGCCUUCGGGUUGUAAAGCACUGUCAGCGGGGAGGCGUUACCCGCAGAAGAAGCACCGGCUAACUCCGUGCCAGCAGCCGCGGUAAUUC
rnacentral:rRNA from 1 species